ensembl:ncRNA C18B12.10 ncRNA
AAGGAGGGACCUUGUUUCUUUUUUUCUGACCAAAAUUACUCUAUUGCUACGCGUUUGAGCAUAUUCUAGGAUAAGAAGGGUUUGGAAAAGAAGAAGAACAAGAAGAAGCAGCAGCAGUAGCUGAAGAAGA